rnacentral:rRNA from 1 species
GACGAACGCUGGCGGCGUGCUUAACACAUGCAAGUCGAACGGAAAGGCCCUGCUUUUGUGGGGUGCUCGAGUGGCGAACGGGUGAGUAACGCGUGAGUAACCUGCCCUUGACUUUGGGAUAACUUCAGGAAACUGGGGCUAAUACCGGAUAGGAGCUCCUGCUGCAUGGUGGGGGUUGGAAAGUUUCGGCGGUUGGGGAUGGACUCGCGGCUUAUCAGCUUGUUGGUGGGGUAGUGGCUUACCAAGGCUUUGACGGGUAGCCGGCCUGAGAGGGUGACCGGCCACAUUGGGACUGAGAUACGGCCCAGACUCCUACGGGAGGCAGCAGUGGGGAAUAUUGCACAAUGGGCGGAAGCCUGAUGCAGCAACGCCGCGUGCGGGAUGACGGCCUUCGGGUUGUAAACCGCUUUCGCCUGUGACGAAGCGUGAGUGACGGUAAUGGGUAAAGAAGCACCGGCUAACUACGU